GUGGUGGUGGUGGUGUGGUGGUGGGUGGUGGUGGUGGCUGGUGGUGGUGGGUGGUGGAGGUGGUGGUGGUUGGCAGAGGUGGUGGAGGUGGCGGUGGUGGUGGUUGUUGGUAGUGGUGAUGGUGGUAGUGGUGGUGGUGGUGGUGGUUGGUAGUGGUGAUAGUGGUGGUGGUGGUGACGGUGAUGGUGGUAGUGGUGGUGGUUGAUAGUGGUGAUAGUGGUAAUGGUGGUGGUGGUGGUAGUGGUUGGUAGUGGU
rnacentral:lncRNA from 1 species